rnacentral:rRNA from 1 species
GAUGAAACUUAAACGAUCUCCUCGGAGUGAACUUAAGUGGAUUAGUGGCGGACGGGUGAGUAACGCGUGAGUAACCUGCCUUAGAGAAGGGGAUAGCCUUUGGAAACGAAGAAUAAUACCCUAUGACAUGAUAGCCUCGCAUGAGAUUAUCAUCAAAGAUUUAUCGCUCUAAGAUGGACUUGCGUCUGAUUAGUUAGUUGGUGGGGUAACGGCCCACCAAGACAGCGAUCAGUAGCCGGCUUGAGAGAGUGUACGGCCACAUUGGGACUGAGACACGGCCCAGACUCCUACGGGAGGCAGCAGUGGGGAAUUUUGCACAAUGGGGGAAACCCUGAUGCAGCGACGCCGCGUGAUUUAGAAGGCCUUCGGGUUGUAAAAAUCUUUUCUAUGGGAAGAACAUGACAGUACCAUAGGAAUAAGGACCGGCUAAUUACGUGCCAGCAGCCGCGGUAAUACGUAAGGUCCGAGCGUUGUCCGGAAUCAUUGGGCGUAAAGGGUACGUAGGCGGGUAAGCAAGUUAGAAGUGAAAUCCUAUAGCUCAACUAUAGUAAGCUUUUAAAACUGCUCAUCUUGAGGUAUGGAAGGGAAAGUGGAAUUCCUAGUGUAGCGGUGAAAUGCGCAGAUAUUAGGAGGAAUACCGGUGGCGAAGGCGACUUUCUGGCCAUAACCUGACGCUGAGGUACGAAAGCGUGGGUAGCAAACAGGAUUAGAUACCCCUGGUAGUCCACGCCGUAAACGAUGAGUGUUAGGUGUCUGGAGUAAAUCUGGGUGCCGCAGCUAACGCAUUAAACACUCCGCCUGGGGAGUACGCGCGCAAGCGUG